GAUGAACGCUGGCGGCGUGCCUAAUACAUGCAAGUCGAGCGAACGGACGAGGAGCUUGCUCCUCUGACGUUAGCGGCGGACGGGUGAGUAACACGUGGAUAACCUACCUAUAAGACUGGGAUAACUUCGGGAAACCGGAGCUAAUACCGGAUAAUAUAUUGAACCGCAUGGUUCAAUAGUGAAAGACGGUUUUGCUGUCACUUAUAGAUGGAUCCGCGCUGCAUUAGCUAGUUGGUAAGGUAACGGCUUACCAAGGCAACGAUGCGUAGCCGACCUGAGAGGGUGAUCGGCCACACUGGAACUGAGACACGGUCCAGACUCCUACGGGAGGCAGCAGUAGGGAAUCUUCCGCAAUGGGCGAAAGCUUGACGGAGCAACGCCGCGUGAGUGAUGAAGGUCUUCGGAUCGUAAAACUCUGUUAUUAGGGAAGAACAAAUGUGUAAGUAACUAUGCACAUCUUGACGGUACCUAAUCAGAAAGCCACGGCUAACUACGUG
rnacentral:rRNA from 1 species